rnacentral:rRNA from 1 species
UACGUAGGGUGCAAGCGUUGUCCGGAAUUAUUGGGCGUAAAGAGCGUGUAGGCGGCCCGACCAGUCCGCUGUGAAAGUCCAGGGCUCAACCCUGGAAUGCCGGUGGAUACUGUCGGGCUAGAGUCCGGAAGAGGAGAGUGGAAUUCCUGGUGUAGCGGUGAAAUGCGCAGAUAUCAGGAAGAACACCAAUGGCGAAGGCAGCUCUCUGGGACGGUACUGACGCUGAGACGCGAAAGCGUGGGGAGCGAACAGG